AAAUUUUGUACUGUUUUCAAAUCAUAUUUGCAGUGUUUAUGUAUGCUGGUGUAUGAAGCCUGUGAUUUUGUAUGUGCUAAGGUUCUAACAGUCAGUUUCCAUUAAAAUAAAAACGAUGCUGUAGUAGUAGUGCUGGUAGUGGAAAUAGUGCUGUGGUAGUGGUGGUGGUAGCGCUAAUGCCGAUCGUACAAGUGGUGGUGGUGCUGCUAGUGAUUCUGGUCGUGGUAAUGGUGGUGGUAGUGGUAAUGCUGCUGGCACAAGUGGUUAUGUUGGUAGUGGUAGUGAAGGUGGUGGUUCUCGUAGUAGCAGUGGUGGUGGUGGUGCUAGUAGUAACGGUCCUGGUAUUAGUAGUGGCUGUCAGUGAUUAACAUCAACAGUUCUUUUUUCCUUUUAACUUUUCAUU